rnacentral:tRNA from 1 species
UACAUUUUGGUGUAAGGCACGAAAGAUUUUGAUUCUUUAAGUAUAUUUAGAUUAUUAAAUGUAG